GACGAACGCUGGCGGCGUGCCUAACUCAUGCAAGUCGAGCGGUCUGAUGUUCAAUUUAUUGAACAAAAGGCAGCGGCGGACGGGUGAGUAACACGUGGGUAAUCUGCCCUACGGACCGGGAUAACACACCGAAAGGGGUGCUAAUACCGGAUAAAGUCAUCAUAUGGCAUCAUGAGAUGAAGAAAGGAGAAAUCCGCCAAAGGAGGGGCCCGCGUCCCAUUAGUUAGUUGGCGGGGUAAAAGCCACCAAGGCGACGAUGGGUAGCCGGCCUGAGAGGGUGAACGGCCACACUGGAACUGAGACUCGGACCAGACUCCUACGGGAGGCAGCAUG
rnacentral:rRNA from 1 species